AAUCCACAACAGUGCUGAAAUCCUUGACAGUGUACUCCCGCCUCAUCUCUCCCAGCACCCCAUCGCUGCCAGACUGGACCGGCACGUGCAGGAAGGCGUACACUCUUGGGUGCUUCAUGAUCUCGGCAAUGUCCUGCAGAGAUGGUCAAGAAUGUAGGGAGGGUUGGUCAUCCCAAGCCUGAGUCUGCAUCCCUCAGGUAUCACCUCCACCAGGCGCCACAACAGCUGUGGCAGGGUGACGCCGAUGUCCCUCCCGUAGGCCCCCGUGUCCUCUGACGUCAGCCACACCUCACACACACCCUCACUGAAGGACUGCCUAGCGCGCUCCACCACCUCCUCUGUUGUGGUGAAGUGAUGCAUUGUUAUAAUGACUUGCCCACCUUUCAAUGUCUCCUCCACCACCUCCACAACUCUGUCAAUCUGCUGCACCCCAAUGACACUGAGGCCCUCUAGAAACUCUGAGCGAGGGGCACCUGCCAAAGAAGUACACCUUUUCAUAAAUUUGCCAUUACUUGAAUUAAAAGAAACUUAAGAGAAGCACCCUGGCACCAACCCACAGCUCUCACUACUUUGCCCAACAUUACUAUGAUACAAGAAGUACAGGUAUAUUACUUUCCUCAGCUUAAAUUAACUGCACUCCUUAUUUGCCCUAUUUAUAAAUCUGCCAAUACUUAAUUCAAAAGAAACUUAAGCACUUUUUGAACCAUGUCCAAGUCACUGCUGUGCCUGAAAUCACCACAGCAGUACAUCUUCCCCUUGGUAAUGCCUCUCAAUGUCCACAGAGCUUUAGCGUCUUAACAUAUAAAGAAGCACCACUGCCUUAGUCCUCCUGAUGUCUGCCAGUGGGCUCCCUACC